UACGUAGGCAGCAAGCGUUUGUUCGGAGUUACUGGGCGUAAAGAGUGCGUAGGCGGUCCUGUAAGUUUGGUGUGAAAUCUCCCGGCUCAACUGGGAGGGUGCGCCGAAGACUGCAGGGCUUGAGUAUGGGAGAGGUAAGCGGAAUUCCUGGUGUAGCGGUGAAAUGCGUAGAUAUCAGGAGGAACACCAAUGGCGAAGGCAGCACUCUGGGACGUGACUGACGCUGAAGACGCGGAAAAGCGUGGGGGAGCAAACAGG
rnacentral:rRNA from 1 species